UAAUUGCAUCUCACUGCACGACCUUCCUAACUUUAUUUUCUCUCUCUUCUUUUAGUCUUCGUCUUCACGAUUUCGGGCCACCGGCCACCACCUAAUUUUCUCUCUCCUCUCUCUCUCUCUCUGUCUCUACCCACCAGCUGUUGUCAACCGUCGACGGAGCUGUCAAUCGUGUCCCCUCCCCCGACAAGCUCGCUUCAACCACUCCAUCCACCUCUUUCUAGGUUAGGGUUCCUAUCCUUUCCGGAAUGGAGCUUCCACAAUCCUCACAACCACCACCAUCACAGGCGGCGAUUGCAGACCUUCCGCCAUCAGUCUCGUUUCCCAUGGAGAUCCCUCAUGUAUCGGAGGAAGUCUCCACUACAUGGGAAUGGGGAAGUCUUCUGGAUUUCACCGUCGAUGAUCAACUUCUUGUGUCUUGGGAUUCCGAAACACACCCGAUCGCUCCGGUUCCGGAAUUCGUUUCCGAGCCGCCGUCGAACAGUGGAUCGGAUAGUGCUGCUGAUCGGGUUAGGAAGAGGGACCCUCGUUUGACGUGUUCGAAUUUCUUGGCUGGGCGAAUUCCUUGUUCGUGCCCUGAGGAAGAUGAGAAGGACGAGGAAGAAGCUGCUGUGGGGAAUAAACGUACGAGGACCUAUGCAGUGGGGACUGCACGAUGUCAGGUUCCUGGUUGCGAGACCGAUAUUAGUGAACUCAAAGGGUAUCAUCGUCGUCAUCGUGUUUGCCUUCGCUGCGCCAAUGCUACUUCUGUUGUUCUUGAUGGCAUGUCUAAGCGGUAUUGUCAGCAGUGUGGCAAGUUUCAUAUCUUGUCGGACUUUGAUGAAGGUAAACGCAGUUGUAGGAGAAAACUAGAGCGCCAUAACAAGAGGCGGCGAAGAAAAGGUGCAGUUGAAAAGGAAACUCAAGACGAUCUGCCUGCUGAAGACAUUAGUGGUGAUGGAGAAGCAGAUAAAGAUAGUUUAUGCUUGAGCAACCAAGUAAUGGGCAGAGAAGUAUCUUUGGAAACUGAAGGUGGGCAGGUUUCCCCACCCUGCUCAGCUCCUAGUUCGCAAAAUAUCCAGAGUGAUAGUGGUGUCUCAAAUGUGGUUUCUGGUGAUACCUAUAUGGACAGAGGGAAAGAUGGUUCCAAAUGUGCUAUUUCUUCAUCCUUUUUUGACAAUAAGAGUUCUUAUUCAUCUAUGUGUCCAACAGGUCGGAUAUCGUUCAAGCUUUAUGACUGGAAUCCUGCAGAGUUCCCUAGACGACUUCGGCACCAAGUAUUUCUAAUGGAUUAUAAUUGCAAUAUUCCAGUGGUUGGCUAGCAUGCCAGUAGAAUUGGAGGGUUAUAUCCGUCCUGGAUGCACCAUCUUAACCAUAUUCAUUGCAAUGCCACAAUUUAUGUGGGAGAAGUUAUCAGAAGAUGCCGCUUCCUAUGUGUGUAAUCUUUUUAGUGCACCUGAAAGUUUGUUAUCAGGAAGAGGCACAGUUAUUCUUCACUUAAACAACAUGGUUUUCGAGGUUCUAAAAGGU